AUGAUGGUGGCGUCGCUCCGCCGGACACCGAGCAGAGACGACAACGACAAUGCCACAGAUCACAUCGCCGAGGAUCCCGGUCAUGAGGGAGCUGCUGAAGGUGGGUCGUCGGUUGUCGUGCAGUCACUACAGGAUAUUGAAGAAGACCCGUCCACGCCUUCGCACGAUAGUUCGGAGGAGGCUGGCGACAUGGAAGAUGCUAUGUACGAGAAGCUCAAAGACGCGAUUAUGGAGGCCGGGAGCCUCAGGCACGAGGCGUACGAAGAGACUCGACGGCGGCAGAAGGCCGACCGGGACCUGGCCGACGCGUCCAUGAUGGCGAGGGACGCAGAGAGCUCCUACCAUGGCGAGGCGAGGCGGCGUAAGGAGAUGGAGGAGAGUCUGGCGAGGGAGCGCGCGGCCAUGGAGCAGGAAAGGCGGGAACUCGACGCCAUUCUCGCGAAGAUACGGGAGGUUGAUGAGCGCAGCGCCGAGCUCGAGCUCCAGGUCACCGACUCAGGGCACGUGAUGAGCGAACUCGAUGUCAGGAUGUCGGAGUCGUGCUCUGUCCUCGACGCGCUCAGGCUGGAGCGACGAGGAGAAGGGCCUGCAGCUGACGAAGAAUCCAUGCCUGUGGUGGAUGGCAGUAAUCAAAUCGUGAGUUUCUUGCGGCUUGCUUUGUCGGAGCUGGAGGAGGCGACCGAUCGUUUCAACGAGUCUGCCAUGGUAGGAGGCGCCGGUGCCGACAGCCGCGGCCGCGUGUACAGAGGGAGCCUCCGCGGCAUGACCGUCGCCGUCAAGAUGAUCUGCCCCGACGUCGCCGUCGACGAGGCGCGGUUCGGUCGUGCAGUGGACGCCAUCGCCAGGGCGAGGCACCCAAACAUCGUCGCGCUCGUCGGCGCGUGCCCGGAGGCGCGCGCCGUGGUGCACGAGCUCGUGCCGGGCGGGAGCUUGGAGGACCGUCUUGGAGAGGAGGCGCCGCCACUGCCGUGGCACGCACGGUGCGGCGUCGCGUACCGAACCUGUUCCGCUCUGGCCUACCUCCACUCGACGGCAACAGUGCAUGGCGACGUCCGUCCAGCGAAUAUCCUCCUGCAGGACGAGCGGUGCUCCUCGAGCAAGCUCGCCGGCCUCGGCAUGCCUUGUCUCGUGGCGCCGCCACAGCUCCCCAGCGGCGUCGCGCUGGCGUACGUGGAACCUCGGUACCUGGUGACGGGGGAGCUGACCCCGCAGUGCGACGUGCAUGCGCUGGGCGUGGUCCUCCUCCGCCUGGUCACGGGCAUGCCGGCGUUCGCGGCGAAGAAGGCGGCGCAGAAGGCCGCCGACGGGAGCACACCCUGGCACGAGGUGGUGGACGCGAGUGCCGGAGGGUGGCCGAUGGAGCGCGCCACGGAGGUCGCGCUCCUCGGGCUGAAAUGCUGCGACGCGGUCGAAACCAGAGGACCACGUCGCCGGGCCGAGCUUCUGGAUGAGGCGCUGAGCGUGCUGGAGGCCGCGACGGAUGCCACGCCGGGGAGGACGUGGUCGUCGCUCUCGGCGUCGACGGCGUCCGACAGCGGCGGCGCUCCGUCCUACUUCCUCUGCCCGAUACUCAAGGAGGUGAUGAUGGAUCCGCAGAUCGCCGGCGACGGGUUUACCUACGAGGCGGAGGCGCUGAAGGAGUGGCUCGGGAGCGGACACGACACGUCGCCGAUGACCAACCUCAAGCUUCCCACCGAUGAGCUCAUGCCCAACCACACACUCCGCGCCGCCAUACAAGAGUGGCGACACACGAGGCCUAGCACCUUCCAUCGGUACCAAUAA
rnacentral:rRNA from 1 species